rnacentral:rRNA from 1 species
CUGGAUUGAACUACGCAGGAAAACCCUAGAGAUAGGGCUUCUCCUUCAGGAGCAGAGUGACAGGUGGUGCAUGGUUGUCGUCAGCUCGUGUCGUGAGAUGUUGGGUUAAGUCCCGCAACGAGCGCAACCCUUGAUCUUAGUUGCCAUCAUUAAGUUGGGCACUCUAAGGUGAUUGCCGGUGACAAACCGGAGGAAGGUGGGGAUGACGUCAAAUCAUCAUGCCCCUUAUGACCUGGGCUACACACGUGCUACAAUGGACGGUACAAAGAGCUGCAAGACCGCGAGGUGGAGCUAAUCUCAUAAAACCGUUCUCAGUUCGAAUUGUAGGCUGCAACUCGAGUGCAUGAAGUUGGAACCGCUAGUAAUCGCGGAUCAGCAUGCCGCGGUGAAUACGUUCCC